UUAAAUCUUGGUGGUAGGUGUCUCUCUCCUCGGCUCCCAGAUGGAGCGGUUCACCCAGAACACGGUUAAUUGCAUCCCGAUCGAACACAACAGGACGACCGGACACUCUAGACGUCCAUGUGAAUGGCUCGUCGUCGUUCGGUAGUGCGUUCGCGUAGAACUCACGCACUGUUGCGAUAUCGUAAUGCUCCAGGGGGGAUAUUAACCGAUCCCAC
rnacentral:lncRNA from 1 species